rnacentral:sRNA from 1 species
UGCCCUCCCCCACCCCCUCACCCUGCAGCCUCCCCCCGCCCCACCCCAUCCAGGAAUGGCACGACUACAAGCUGCGCUGGGACCCAGCUGACUAUGAGAAUGUCACCUCCAUCCGCAUCCCCUCUGAGCUCAUCUGGCGGCCGGACAUUGUCCUCUACAACAAGUGAGUCCCCUACAGGGUCUUGGUGGGCAGGAGUGGCCAGGGCCUGCCCCUGCCCAGACAGGGAGCUCCACCAAGGCCCAGCCUGGCCCAGCGGGGCCUAUGCCAGCCCCAUGCAUGCCAGCCCAGGCCCAGGAAGGAAGAAGCAGGAGCAAUGGAGAAAUUGGUGUGGGUUGAGGAGGGAAGGGUCCCCCCAGGCCAGCAAAGAGGCUGAGGGCAUCCCUGGGUCUCAGCACUGGGGCGUCAGAGCCGGAGGGGCCUGAGAGUGGCUGUGGCACCUGGACACAGUGUCCCUGCCUGGACCAGUCCUGAGGCCU